rnacentral:rRNA from 1 species
GAUGAACGCUGGCGGCGUGCUUAACACAUGCAAGUCGAGCGAGAAGUUUUGAAGAGCUUCUUCGGAUGGAAUUUAAAAUGGAAAGCGGCGGACGGGUGAGUAACGCGUAGGCAACCUGCCCCAUACAAAGGGAUAGCAUUUGGAAACGAAUAUUAAUACCUUAUGAAACUUAACUAGUGCAUGCUAGGUAGGUCAAAGAUUUAUCGGUAUGGGAUGGGCCUGCGUCUGAUUAGCUAGUUGGUGAGGUAACGGCUCACCAAGGCGACGAUCAGUAGCCGACCUGAGAAGGUGAACGGCCAAAUUGGAACUGAGACACGGGCCAAACUCCUACGGGAGGCAGCAGUAGGGAAUAUUACACAAUGGGGGAAACCCGGAUGCAGCAACGCCGCGUGAACGACGAAGGCCUUGGGGUCGAAAAGGUCUGUUCUAGGUGAUGAAAACUGACAGUAACCUAGGAGAAAGCCCCGGCUAACUCCGUG